UCAUGUGAUCUUUAGAUAUUAAGUUAAAAAUAAAGGUACAAAUUGUUAAAAAUGAUUAAGUACGAAGAGAUAUUUUUUUGGACACACAGAUGAGGUUUUCGCUCACAAUAAAAUUUCUAUCAUCCAAAAUUAGCAAUUAGCAUUACACAAAACAUUGCACGUAAUGUUAAGAAAAAAUUUAAGCGUUUCUGACUAUGAUAUAGAAAUCAUAACAAUUGAAAUAAAUAAUAAUAAAAAACAAUACAUGAUCAGAAGUGAAUUAUUUAAAUUUACGUCAUAACCAAAUAACUUGUGGUGAUCGAAUGGAAGAAGAAUCGCUGAUAUCACGAUUGUGGAGAAACAAGUUAGUGGGCGGUUGUUUACUUUACCAUAAAAAUGUCUUAACUUUAUUUUAACGAUCUUUAAAAUUUGCAUAAAUAGAGUAGAUAUUUUAUCAUUGCUAUUGAGAAAUAGGUACUGCAUAAAUAGAACUUGUUUUUAGUUGAGUAUGGAACAAAACAAAUAUUUUUAUGAAAACUGUUGUUGCUUUUCAAAAGGAAAUUGUGGAUCAUUCAAAAAACAUAAAAUUAUAAACAAAAUGUUCUACAUUCAUCAGCUGGGAGAUGUUGAUGUUAAGAAACACCUCAUCAACUUAAAGGUCAUGCGAUUAAACGAUAAUAAUAUUUGGGAAGAAAAUGGACUUAUUGCAAAUAGACUUAAAAGAAAUCUU